GCGUCGGCAGUGCAAUGGUUCAGCGCGCGCUCCCGGAAAGAGUGAUAUCUGGGUUCGAAUCCCAGCUGGCGCA